rnacentral:lncRNA from 10 species
UAUAAAUGGAAUCAUCUAAUCCAUGGAUUUUGGUGACUGGCUUCUUUCUCUUAUGAUGUUUCCAAGGUUUGUGCAUGUUGUAGCAUGGGUUGGUACUUCAUUCCUUUUAAUUUCCAAAUUAGAUUCCAUUAUAUGGAUAUGCCAUGAUUUUUCUAUCCAUUUACCCAGAGGAAGGCAUUUUGGUUGUGCACAGUUUUGGGGUUAGUAUGAAUAAUGCUGCUGUGAUCAUUCAUAAUACAUGUGCUUGUUGCUACACAGCCUCCCCAGCCACCAUUUCAUGUCUCUCUUUUGCUGUCUCUGGCAUUUUCCAGGCACAAUUCCACCUUCCUUUGUGCUCCAUUACUCAAGACACUGAAGACUCCAAAAAGUAGUAGGAAAAAUGACCACAUUCAAGGAGGCAGUGACCUUCAAGGAUGUGGCUGUGUUCUUCACUGAGGAGGAACUGGGGCUACUGGACCCUGCCCAGAGGAAGCUGUACCAAGACGUGAUGCUUGAGAACUUCACGAACCUGCUGUCAGUGGGGCAUCAACCAUUCCACCCUUUCCACUUCCUAAGGGAAGAAAAGUUUUGGAUGAUGGAGACAGCAACCCAAAGAGAAGG